rnacentral:lncRNA from 1 species
GGGAUGUGUGCUAGAGGAGUGCGAGAGGAGGGGUGUGUGUAAAUGGAAUGUGUCAGGGCUCUAAUUUGGUAUGGAGCUAUUUCACACUGGGCUGCAGCAUGCUGCAGACUGGUGAAUAACUACUGUGGUGGUGAGAUCAUACACUCUGACUGGAACAACUGAUCUAGGAUAAGUGAGCCCGGUGCAGACUGGUAAAGGAAUGGAAUGGACAGCAGACGGCAGAGAGUCCCUUGAGCUGAUGAGAGUGACACCAGCGCUUCCCCAGGGCUCCAGGGAUGCUGUCCCAGCACAUAGUAAAGAUGCCACAUUCCACACAGGAGAAUCAAUCUGAAGGUGGAAACUAAGGAGUUAGGCUGGCUGAAGUAAUGUAAUGCAUCCCAUAUGUAGGCAUUCCUGCACUGGUGAGUCCUGUGCUAAGCACAGUUAUAAAAUACCACUUAACUUACAUCUGCACCUCUUUUGCAGGAACAUAUUGCCAAACUAAUGAAAACCCCUUCAGCUGCCUAGAUUAACUUCUUCUGGGGUUUUAGAAGUCAAGUCCUCAAUUGCUUUCUGCCUCAAGCACUUCUCUCUUUCACUCGUUCUUUCUCUCUCUCUCUCUAUCUGAUUUCACCUGUAAAGCUACCGCUUCCUCCUCCCACGGCCAAACUCUGACGGAGCCAAUUGAAGCAAAGAGAAAAUUAACUGCUGGCUCACUGGUUUUUAUUGCUUUGUUUUUGAAAAAAAUCUGUUGUGUUAUUGCUGUUGCUAAAGUGCGACAGAAACAGAACUGCUUUGCCUCAGGCUGUUUUUCUAUUUUGGUAUUUUAGUAUGCAACCCUUGUCUCCUAGCCUGUAGUGUCUGUCAGCGUCUCAUAUUCUGGACCUUGAAGUUGAUUCCUCGGCAGCCAGUUGCAUCCUGGGAAGGCUGUUCCAUGGGUCCAGGCUGGGAGUGAAUCUCAAAUGUAUUUUCUUGAUUCCUUGUGUCCUUUCUCCUUGAUUCCUUCUCCAAGUUCAUUGGGGAACAAGGUCUAAGGGGAGGAAAAUUUGACCAUUUCUUCCAAUGUGUUUUGAGAAGGAGCGAGGAGAGAGGACAGGGGCAAUCAAGGAAAUACAAUUGAGAUUCACCCAGGGGCUCUCCUCCUGUCCUGCGUCGCCCUGCUCUCAUUGGCAGACCGAUCGUCAGCUCCAGCAGCUGCGUCUCUGUCUAUCUGUCGGCCUCACCCUCGGCCCCUCGGGACAUUUAGCAGGGAAAAACGUUUGGAUAUCAGAGCGCCGGUAACUCACCAGCAUUACGACCAGGAAUACGACUUUCCCGCAUCAGAUCCUUUGUUCGUACCCCCCAGGGCAAUUGAACUGAUUCCAGAGGCUGACCCAAAACACCUCCGGCGGAGGAGAGGUGUGCUGGAGUCAGAGCAGAUCUCCACCAGCUGCAACCUGUUCCAUAAUCAAGACCUCUACAAAUACUCAGUCCUGCCGCUUCCACACUGCCAGAUCGUAAUCUCUGCCCAUUCUGCCUGCUCUGACUCUGGUCCCUGUCUCCCUGACUUCUCGUCAGUCCUGCUACUCUGCCCUGGAUUCCCCACUCUAUGCUCCCUUCAAUUCCCCUCCGGACCUGCUUACCCUGUCCCAACACCUCUCGCUCCAGCCUCAGCCUCCGCACCUGGUUUCCGGCAACCCGCCCGAGCUUCCCCUGGCCCGCACUCAAUCUUCCCCCCGUGCUUCAAUAAAUACCUUGGUUACCUCAUCCCAGUCUCCUCGUGUGAGUCUGCUCUUGGGUUCAGCUGUUCCGCUCCGUGUGACACUCCUAUAAGUGCAGAGGAGGCGGAGAGGGCCCUGUCUGAGCAUGUGUAUAUUAAGAUGUAUAUUAUGGGCAUGAUUAAAAUCGGUUUAUUUCUCAGAACAUUGUUUUACCGUCAUUCAUGCAGGGCUACAACUGCUUAUGUACACUUUGCAGAAAGCUAGUAAGGUAGGGAGGGCAGCAGAAAUGGACUGGCCAUUGGGCCGUUCGGGAAAAGGUCAGAUGGGCUGGUCCAUAUGUAGCUCAGUGGGCCUGUCUAAAUUGUUGUUUUGUGUGUGUAUCAGACCUGGGAUAACUACAGAUUUUAAUAUGCUUCGUGAG